rnacentral:sRNA from 1 species
ACUAAAUCUACUUUUACUUUGAAUCUAAUCAUGCAUUGUUGGCUUAUUUAAUCAAUUUUGAUCUCGAGAUCUAGAUCUAAAUCUGUAUUAAUCUACCAAGGCUCACUAACCUAUUUCGACUAAACUUAUAGAUUUCUCUCAAGCAUCUCGAUCAAGCCUAAAUGAUAAGAUCUAGAUGCAGAUUAUACGAUAAUACGUCUGUUGUAUUUAGAGUGAAACAAAGAGAACGUCCUGGAUAAUGUCUAUUUGUGUUGUCCUUUUCUCUGUCUCCAUCACUCAUAUCACAGGUACUAGAGAUUGUGUGCCUGGAGAUCCAGACUUGAUACCAGAACUGUGUACCAACAGUAGUAUCUGCCAGACAGAGCCAUCACUGUGCUGUAACUAUUGCUUCCCUCAAAACAGCACUACAAGCACAAGUGCCACAAAGCUAAUUUCACCCAUAGAGUGCGUACUGGGAGAAUCAGACUUCAACACAGACCUGUGCACUACUCCAAGUGUCUGCCAGACACAGCCACUGAUGUGCUGUAACUAUUGCUCGUACAAUUCCGGAACCAUUCUAUCAUUAUACGAUACUUGGAUAUAUUGUUGUUUUUACAUUACAUUGCAUAUUCAUUGUAUAUUCUUUAUGUCAAAUCAAAAGUCUUCUAGAUAGAAUGAGUAGCUCAUAGAUUUUAUUGUUUUUCAUAUUUUGAUAAAUGUCACAUUCAUGAGAAAAGUUAUUUCUUAAACGUAUGUCAUAUCAAUCUUUUCAAUAGACUGCAAUCAUAAUACACAUUAAUAUUGAUUAAAAUGCAGCAAGAACACUACACUAUAUGUUGUAGUUUUUUUUGUAGUGGCCCCCGAAUGGGAAAUAGACAAAAUUAGUUUUGUGUGGUCCGUCUGUCCGUCCCGUUUAGAUCUCGUAAACUAGAAAAGAUAGUGAAAAUCCGACAUCAUGAUGUUUUAGACAGUCCUUCUAAAAUAGCCAGGCUUCUGACCUUUGACCUGAAGUUUUACCCUCUAGUCAAUUGAAUAAU